UACGUAGGGUGCAAGCGUUGUCCGGAAUUAUUGGGCGUAAAGAGCUCGUAGGCGGUUUGUCGCGUCUGCUGUGAAAACCCGAGGCUCAACCUCGGGCCUGCAGUGGGUACGGGCAGACUAGAGUGCGGUAGGGGAGAUUGGAAUUCCUGGUGUAGCGGUGGAAUGCGCAGAUAUCAGGAGGAACACCGAUGGCGAAGGCAGAUCUCUGGGCCUGUACUGACGCUGAGGCGCGAAAGCGUGGGGAGCAAACAGG
rnacentral:rRNA from 1 species